UACGUAUGGUGCAAGCGUUAUCCGGAUUUGCUGGGUGUAAAGGGAGCGCAGGCGGCGCGGCAAGUCCGAUGUGAAAACCCCCGGCUCAACCGGGGGACUGCAUUGGAAACUACCGGGCUGGAGUGCCGGAGAGGUAGGCGGAAUUCCUGGUGUAGCGGUGAAAUGCGUAGAUAUCAGGAGGAACACCAGUGGCGAAGGCGGCCUACUGGACGGUGACUGACGCUGAGGCUCGAAAGCGUGGGGAGCAAACAGG
rnacentral:rRNA from 1 species